UGCUGGCUUGUCAUCCUUUGGCUGCAUGUGCUCGCCCCAGCAAUCCUUUUCCAAACACCUGUGCACCUUCCUUGUGAGAAUGGGAGAGAAAGGGCUUGUCUCUUUUAUCUCAUCUCAUGAUUCAUAAACGCUGUUCGUAAUGUUGAAUGCAUUUAUGCCGUCAAGGCUUUAACCUAAUACAACUUUUGACAACGGAUCUCUUGGCUCUCGCAUCGAUGAAGAACGCAGCGAAAUGCGAUAAGUAAUGUGAAUUGCAGAAUUCAGUGAAUCAUCGAAUCUUUGAACGCACCUUGCGCUCCCUGGUAUUCCGGGGAGCACGCCUGUUCGAGUGUCGUGAAACUAUCAAGCCAGGAUGCUUUCUUGCUUCCUGGUCUUGGUUUAUUGGGCUUUGCCGUGCCCCUUCAUUGGGAACGGCUGGCCUUAAAAGCAUUAGCUGACUCCAUGUGGUUAUUGGUAUUCUACUUGGCGUGAUAAUAAUCUGACCGCUGAGAAAGUGUCCUUUCGGGGAUGGCCAAUUUUCAUGUGGGGUUGCUCCUAA
rnacentral:rRNA from 1 species